rnacentral:rRNA from 1 species
CAAUAGCGUAUAUUUAAGUUGUUGCAGUUAAAAAGCUCGUAGUUGGAUUUCGGUUGAGAGCGGCCGGUCCGCCGUUUGGUGUGCACUGGCUGGUUUCAACUUCCUGUAGAGGACGCGCUUUGGGCUUAACGGUCUGAACGUGGAGUCUACGUGGUUACUUUGAAAAAAUUAGAGUGUUCAAAGCAGGCUUAUGCCGUUGAAUAUAUUAGCAUGGAAUAAUAAGAUAGGACUUUGGUACUAUUUUGUUGGUUUGCGCACCAAAGUAAUGAUUAAUAGGGACAGUUGGGGGUAUUCGUAUUCCGUUGUCAGAGGUGAAAUUCUUGGAUUUACGGAAGACGAACUACUGCGAAAGCAUUUACCAAGGAUGUUUUCAUUAA